rnacentral:lncRNA from 1 species
AUUCUAAGUACUGUUUCCUUUGUUGUACAUUGUAAUCAAAGUUGUUUUUUUGUAAAUCAGAUCUCCAAAAUUUUGGCAAUUUGUGCGUAAAGAUUUUGAAUGCUAAAUACAUCACUGUUGUAUGUAUGCAAAAGUAUUCUGUUUACUGUACCUGGAUUAUGUAAUACAUUUCUUAUAGCUUAAAAUGUGCAUUAUAUUAUUAUCAUUACAGCUGUUGAAGAUGACGCAGUACAAGUAUGUGCAAAUGUGUAUUCAUCCCCUGCCAUCCCCCGGGACUACUUUUAGUCGUACAAUGAGCAAAGACCAAUAAAUUCUGAUUAAGAGCAUCUUUGUCGAACAAGGUACCUUAAUUCUGAGAGAUGAAAAACAAUGGCGGCUCACGGUGUAGUCAAGAAAUGGUGAUAUAUGGACAAGAUACUAGGCCAGGUCGAUCGUGCACAUCGUAAAUCCUGUUUGUAGUCAACUCAAAUUAUUUGGUUGGUCAUGAAAAUUAAAUGUUAUUGUGAACAUUAAGAAAAGGUCAAAAGGACACUUUUUAACCGACCUAUUUCAAAACCACAUUGCAAAGCAAUUAUCGCUGGAACCAUGCUAUCAACACAGUAGUUCAGAACAUAGAUUGAGCAAUGGCCUGUGGAGAUGAUAGUUUGUUUAACGGACAUUGCUGCAAGUGCCGUCACAUUGCUGGCGGUUCGCAUUCAACGCUGCUAGUAUCAAAAAGCCAUUGCAGUGCUUGGCAUUGAGCGCAGCUAAUAUGGAAUAACUAUACUCUCGGAGUCAACGCAGAUCCUAAAUCUCCAUGCGAGUAUCUAAAAAAUUGACACAGUUUCCCGCACUUCCACCAUCAAGCAAAAAUCUAACAAGGAAAGUGGCCCAUCUCCUGCUGAAACAUGUUUGUUUCAUUGGAGCCUCAGCGAUGGCUAUGGGUUGUUAAAAACGCAGACAUACAUGCCUGACAUGGGCAUCAUUUAUUGUGUUUUUAGUGUUUUAAAGUUUACUGUUUGUAUUUAAUUGUUAUGUUCUGAAUAUAUGUUAAGAACUUUAUAAACAGAUGCUCUUGAUGUAGCUUCUCGCAACUUUGGAUGCCUGUGGAUGACGUCAUGCGUGGCAAAAAGAGAAUGGAGUGAAGAUAUUUAGGGUGCCUACUUCGCAUCCUGUAAAGAUUCUUUUUCUUGCAACUGAAAAUAAUUUUCCACGGCUACCAUGCCUCGAUUGCAACUUACUUAAAAAGCAUCACAUUUUUCCAUUCUGUGAGAUACCGACUUGUUAUUGGAUGUCAGAGAAAUAGAGAAAUUAUGUUGUCAUUGGAUCACAUUACUUGAGGUUCCAAUAAUAUAGCUGUCGUGGGAUAACGACUAGAUUACUUGUGGUUCAUCAGAGGUUUUGCCUUCUGUGCGGAUACAAGAGUAUUGGAGUGGUGUCACAUUUCUCGCAAUUCCCGGAGGAGAUGUGCCAUCGCAUUGCUUACGAUUCCCUAAGAAUUACUCACAUGGAAUGAUAACUGCAGCAUAUUACUCGCGGUUCAUAGAGCGCUGGUAGAACUGUAGGUCUGCUGUACAAAUACCUAGACAGAUGUCCAUUGAUUCUUAGUACAACAGGCAGUUGUAACGUCCGCUAUGUUACUCGCAGUUCACAGAGCACAGAAGAUGCAGGACAGCUAUCGCAUUGACAUCAAAUCAAUAUAACUUCUUUCCAGCGCACUGGGUUUCUAUGACGAUGUUUACAUGCGACCAGAUUACAAUGGUGAUGGAAUUAUUUUCUUAAUUAAUUUGUUACAAAUCAUAAAAUCAAUUCGUUGAAGAAACAUUUCGGGGUUGUAAUCAUUAUUGCAUUGAUUGCAAUGAAAUUGAUACUUGAAUGGCCGGUUGCUGGAGGGCGGUAGCAAGAGAACAACAAGCCGGAGGGUCUAAAUAUAAUUAAACAGUCUUGCAAAGAUCAUUAUGAAGGUUUUGUUUUAUUGAUGCAUUUAUAAUAAUACUAAUAUUAAUAAUCAUAAUAAUAAUAGUAAUUGUAAUAACAUUUAUGACAAUAGUAUAGUAAAAAUAAAUAUGAUAGGCCAAUUAAUGCUACUGAAAUAACUUCAACAAAAAAAUAUGCUUGUGUUUCAAGUAGUUCAGAAAAUACAGUGGCAUACAAAGCUGUGAUAUAGAAUAUGAAGAAAAUAAAUUUAAGUUUUUGAGAAUAGGUAAAUCAAUUAACUAUUUUUUUUUUACUUCAUUGUAUUAAUCAAAAAAUGUUUUUAAAAAAAAUAUGGCACAAAAAUAUGCAGUAAAGUAAAAAUAGAGAAGGGACGGAACUACUAUCUCAGGAUCCAUUAGCAGGGAAACGCCCUGUAAGAACUAAACUACUUUACACAGAACAAAAAAGAACAUUUACUUGUCAAAUUUCUUUAUGAGAUCCAAGAAUUGUCAAGUAUUUAUUCAGUUAUUGAAUUUUAUUAACAAUAGCAUUUUGUUUUCUAAUGCAUCUGUUUUUUCCGAUGAUAUUCAUAAAAUCUGUUUUUGUCCUUGGGACCUGGUUCAACCUCUGUCAAACACCAAGAUUUUUUAUUUUUAAGUUACAUAGUGGCAGAUGUUAUUGGUCCAUCACUACUUGUACAGAUUUCUACAGCUUCUGUACACCUGCAACAGCUUUUCUCACAGAAUGCUUGUGAACAAUUUACAAAUUACGAGAGUGAUCUGACAUCCUAUGGUGUCAUUUGCAGUUUUUUUUUUCUUUUUUGUUUAAUAUUUGUAAUUGUUUAUUUGUAAUCUCUUAGAUCAAAGUUUAUUUCUAUUUGUAUUCUAUAUACAUAUUUACAUACAUAUUUAUGCAAAUAACAAUAAAUGGAUUUAAUAUAAUAUGAACAAAUGAAUAAACAUGUGAUCGAAGAAA